rnacentral:rRNA from 1 species
GACAGAGGGUGCAAACGUUAUUCGGAAUCACUGGGCGUAAAGGGUGCGUAGACGGUUUAUUAAGUUCGUUGUUAAAGGCUCCGGCCCAACCGGAGUAUUGCGAUGAAAACUGGUAAACUAGAGGAUGAGAGAGAGAAGUGGAAUUCCCGGAGUAGCGGUAAAAUGCGUGGAUCUCGGGAGGAACACCAAUGGCGAAGGCAGCUUCUUGGCUCAUAUCUGACGUUGAGGCACGAAAGCGUGGGGAGCAAACAGG